GCCGAAGUGGCGAAAUUGGCAGACGCGCUAGGUUCAGGUCCUAGUUCCGGUUAAACGGAGUGGAGGUUCGAGUCCUCUCUUCGGCA
rnacentral:tRNA from 1 species